rnacentral:rRNA from 1 species
AUUUAGUAGCGAAGUAGCUGAUUUCACACUGUCAAGAAAAGUCUCUAUCGAGGUUAAAGGUACCCGUACCGCAAACCGACACAGGUGGGUGAGGAGAGUAUCCUAAGGCCAGCGAGAGAACUGUUGUUAAGGAACUCGGCAAAAUGACCCCGUAACUUAGGGAGAAGGGGUGCCACCAUCAGGUGGCCGCAGAGAAUAGGCCCAAGCGACUGUUUACCAAAAACAUAGGUUUCUGCUAAGUCGCAAGACGAUGUAUAGGGGCUGACGCCUGCCCGGUGCUGGAAGGUUAAGGGGAUCUGUUAGAGCAAUCGAAGCAGGGAACUUAAGCCCCAGUAAACGGCGGCCGUAACUAUAACGGUCCUAAGGUAGCGAAAUUCCUUGUCGGGUAAGUUCCGACCCGCACGAAAGGCGUAACGAUUUGGGCACUGUCUCAACAACAGACUCGGUGAAAUUGUAAUUCCGGUGAAGAUGCCGGAUACCUGCGACAGGACGGAAAGACCCCAUGGAGCUUUACUGUAGCUUGACAUUGGGUCUUGGUACUACAUGUACAGGAUAGGUGGGAGGCUUUGAA